UACGGAGGGGGCGAGCGUUAUUCGGAAUUAUUGGGCGUAAAGGGCGCGUAGGCGGCCCUGUAAGUCAAAGGUGAAAUCCCUCGGCUCAACUGAGGAACUGCCUUUGAAACUGCAGGGCUUGAGGCCGGGAGGGGGUAGCGGAAUUCCCAAUGUAGCGGUGAAAUGCGUAGAUAUCAGGAGGAACACCGGUGGCGAAGGCGGCUAUCUGGACAGAAACUGACGCUGAGGCGCGAAAGCUAGGGGAGCAAACAGG
rnacentral:rRNA from 1 species